rnacentral:rRNA from 1 species
GGGAACGUCUGACACAGGUGCUGCAUGGCUGUCGUCAGCUCGUGUCGUGAGAUGUUGGGUUAAGUCCCGUAACGAGCGCAACCCUUGUCCUUAGUUACCAGCACGUUAUGGUGGGCACUCUAAGGAGACUGCCGGCGACAAACCGGAAGGAAGGUGGGGGAGUGACGUCAAGUCAUCAUGGCCCUUACGGCCUGGGCUACACACGUGCUACAAUGGUCGGUACAAAGGGUUGCCAAGCCGCGAGGUGGAGCUAAUCCCAUAAAACCGAUCGUAGUCCGGAUCGCAGUCUGCAACUCGACUGCGUGAAGUCGGAAUCGCUAGUAAUCGUGAAUCAGAAUGUCACGGUGAAUACGUUCCCGGGCCUU